rnacentral:misc_RNA from 1 species
AGACACGGCCAGCCAGCCCCGCUUGCAUUCAUUUGUCGACGCACACAUACACACGUUAACAGCGCCACCGCCAUACAGAAGUUGAUAGAGUCCAUUGCCUCCGGCGACAUCUUCGUUGUUGGCGUGCGCUGGGCGAUAGGCGAGGCAUUACAUCUCGUGUGUGUCCGUGCCCUGCGCACUUUGCCUCCGGUUCGGGCCGUCGCCACGUGAAGAAACAGCCGCAACCUUGCACGAGAGGCAAGCACACACACACACACACGCAGACAUACAUACUUAUCUCGAAUUCCGUUACGGCAACCCCUCUCUCACCCUUUUGUCAUAGAAUCGUCCCCCGAUCGCUGCACCCGUGCCUGUGCAUCGUGCGAGGCGAGGCACAGCGCGCUUAGAAUCACUUCCUCAUUCACCCACAUACAGGCACGCCCUCAUAGACUGCGCAACCCAUACACCCACCCACCCACACACACACACACGCACACCGGCACUUAUGCAUAGACAACUCCAUACACGCACGCCAUUUUGCACGUCUCCCUCUUCGUCUUCUCUCGUGUGCUCCCUCGACCAUCACACACCUCACCCUACCCCGCAUCCCCCCCCUCCGCCAUCGUUCUCUCGCGAGGACAGCGAAUCCGUAGCAAAUGCCCCGAAGCGCUGUCGCCGCCACACCACGGGUAAGACGAGCAGGUGGAGGCUCUGGCUCGUCCCCGACACAACGUCCCUCUCGCCGCAGCGGCAAGGCCGACAAAAACGCCUCCGUGCAAGAUGCUGUCUUCCAAGUGGAAACGCUGCUGGAAGAGGCCCCUCAUGCCGGCCGUGAGGCGGAAUACGAGUCCGUCGUCGCCUUCGUCUCGCGGCGGCUGUCACACGAGACAAACACCUCCCUCUUUGUGUGCGGCGGCUGCGGUUGCGGCAAGACUUCGACCGUGAAACGUGCUCUGCGAGCCAUUUCGGCGCGUGCGCUGCCGUGCGAUGCCAAACCACGCAGUCUCAUCAAGCAUAGCACUCUCGAAGAGCGCGGCUGGCGAACUUGCGUAGAGGACGGUGAUGACGCAGCAUCUGUCACGGCCGAUGCAACUCGCAGGACUCGAAAAGCACUUCUAGCCACGCCCACCAGUACACCACGCUCCUCUCGGCAGCUGCCGGCCGAGGAAGGCAGAAGCCCCAGUGACGCGAAUGGGCUGACGCCGUCGUCCUCGGCCUCCCUGGCUGCUGCGCUGUCGCACACCACGUCGCCAGACACGUCGCGCACCUCCGCAUCGUCAUUGGCUGCGGCCACUACGACCAGCAGCGCUCGCCUCGCUUUGCACUCACCCGAAUCGAGUCGGCCAAGCGACUCCAGUGUCAACUCCACUGCCACCGUUUUGGAAGCUGCCAGUCCGGCGUGCCGUGUCAAGCGCGGUCGCGCGGCGGAUGAGUGGGAAGGGAACAGCGUUCAUUCAGCCGAACUAGACAGGAAGGCCACAGAAGCCCUCACGCGGGGUGAAAGUGCGUGGCGGCAGGCACAGGGACUGGAGCAGGAGGUGCCACCACGGCCCCAGCCAGAGCCGUACAGUCUUGCCUACUUCAGUAUGCGGUACCCUGAGCUGUUCUCGAGUGGCAGCACUCGUGCGACGGCAUCGUCCUCUUCGCCGGCCACUUCGCAGUUCCGUCAUAUUUUUGGCCACUACGUCAACUGCGCCGAUGUCAGUGGUCCGCUCUUGGUAGAGGCGGUGUGCGACAGCAUCCGGGCAACGUGCAGCCGCACCGACAGCGCCACACAGCUGCUGCUCCAGUGGCUCGCGUCCAUUGGCAAGGCUGCGUCUAGUCGCGGCCAGGCUAUCAGUGGCGCAGCUGCUGAGUCGCACGCCGUUUCUACCUCUGCAGCCCCGAAGCGGCGUGCGAGCCCGCCGGCGCUGCACGUCGUUGCGCUCGACGAGGUAGAGUACCUACGCGGCGGCGGUGCCAAAAUGCUCACCCUACUGGCGGAGCUUGCCUUUCAGCACCCCGCGCAACUUGCCCUGAUCUUCAUAUCAAACCAGCGUGCCUUUGUGCACGUGCCGCAGAUGAUGCUGGAGCCGUUGCUGUUCCAACCCUACAGCGAGGCCCAGUUGCGGGAGAUCGGCGCGAGUACGACGAAUGCCGAGCUGCAGCGAUGCGAGCAGCUCGUCGGCGCAGACGACCGCACUUCGAGAUCCCCCGCGGCGAAGAGCACUGCGGGCGGCGCAAAGGUGCGCAAGACCGCGGCGCGUUCGUCCGCGGCGGACCACAAGCCGCUGCGCGCCUGCGAUGUGGACAUCAGACCGCGCCUGUACGAUUACAUCGCACGCAAAGCGCUCCUCGAGUUUUCCGGCGAUGUCCGGCAGGUCAUCGCCAUGUGCCACCGUGUGGUCUCGGCUGCCUGGCGGGAAGUGGCUGAGGCAAGGCUUGAGGCUGCUGCUGCGGAUGCUGCGACGGCGGCGACGUCUACACCCCCGGCAAUGGCGCGCGACAGCAGAAGCACCGCAGUCGUAAGGAAUGCGUCAGUUGCCGACUUUUCCUCGAAGCUGGAGGCUGCUUUUGAGGCGUACAGCGUGGACAAGCGUACAGCCGCUGCAGCACAAGCGUCUACAACGUUCUCAGGUACCCCCCGGUCUUCUUCAGACGCCGCUGGCAUAAAGGGCGCCUCCUCGACGCGGUUCAGCGGGGCCGCGGGUGCAUCUUGCGCAUCGCUGACCGCUGCAGCACAGCUUGCCCCAGCUUCCUCAUCUUGGACGCCGUCCUCCGGUGUCAUGACGCUGGCCAAGAGCGUCCGUGUCCUACAGAGCAACCAGGUUGAGAGCGACAUCGACAAACACGUCGGCACCCUACCGGAGCAGACUCUAUACGUCCUCAGCUGCAUUGUCGUUCUCACUUUGCGCAAGCGGGAGGAGCGCACCUACGCGUCGACGAGUGUCGGUGGCCGCAUCGGCACAACUCGCACGCCGGGAGCGGGUCUCACCGCGGCUCAGCGCGCGGUGCCAACGCUGUCGCUGAAGAUGCACGAGGUGCACCAGCUGUACACUCGACUCAUGGCGAAGCUGCACUUCCCCGCAAUGCGGGCCGACGGCUUUCCUGUGCAGGUGGAGUGCCUCGCCGACUUUGGCGUGCUGACGCGGCCUCAGUUGCGCGGCACCGAUCGCGUCUUCUCGCUAAACGGGACAUGGACAUUGCCGGCGAUGCAGGCAGCACUUGUGAAGCGUGGCGAAGCGAUCAAGCAAGACCGCACGACGGCUGGCGCUGGGGCGAUGAUGGAGAACCGUUUCGAAGAGGUGCUGCGCGAGCUGGCAAACCUAGUCAAAUAGUUUGGACGCUUUCGCGCUUGUCUGCACGGCAGCGGUGCUGAUGGAGGUCAAGGCACGCGUGGUGCGUAAGAGGUGGAGAGAAGGGUGGACGGCAACGAAAAAUGAACGCGCGCUCGCCCGCUGGCGGGCAGUGCGCACAAGUGAUGGACACCCUGCGAGACGAGGGUGCGUUCUCUCCUGUGUGUAUGCACGCUUGUGUUGCUGUCACUGUCUGUGUAUGCCUAUGCACGUGUGCUGCUGUGCCUCCUCGCCAUGAUUGUUUCCACAGCUCUACGCCUACCCACACACUCUUUUUCCGUUUCCGUCUUCCUCGCGCCGCCAGGCCUCUAUAGAGUUAGCACACACGCACAUGCAUCUAUC